AACCUGGGUGGUUGCUAGGGUGUUGCUAGGCAGUUGGUAAGGUACUUGGGGCAGUUGCUAAGGUGUUGCUAGGCGGUUGCUAGGGUGUUAUGGGUGGUUGCUAGGCAGUUGCUAUGGUACUUGGGGUGGUUGCUAAGGUGUUGCUAGGCGGUUGCUAAGGUGUUCUGGGUGGUUGCUAGGCGGUUGCUAUGGUAACCUGGGUGGUUGCUAGGGUGUUGCUAGGCAGUUGGUAAGGUACUUGGGGCAGUUGCUAAGGUGUUGCUAGGCGGUUGCUAGGGUGUUAUGGGUGGUUGCUAGGCAGUUGCUAUGGUAACCUGGGUGGUUGCUAUGAUGUUACUAGGUGGUUGGUAGUUGUCACAGAUGGUUACUAUGGUGUUUUUAUAGAGUUCUUAGCAUGUUCUUAGACACUUUAGCACUUAGCUAAUCACUAUUAGCAUGUAGCUAUUCACUGCUAGCAUGUGUAGCAUGUUGGAAGUCCAGUUUGCUAGCAUGAGUCAAAAGAGCCAACCGCCAUGUCUCUACGAUGUUCUGAUGCAGAGAUAUAGGUCUUGCAAAACGGUUGCUAGGGUACUCUAUUUGGUUGCUAGGGAGUGGCUUGGCAGCUACCAAUGAUGAUACUCCAAAGGCUGCUUGCCAGUAUGAAUGAUAUAAAUCAACCCCCAUGCCUCUAUGAUAUUCAGAUUUGAAGAUAUCCCUCUAUGCUUUGGGUUGCUAGGGUGCUCUAAAUGGUUGCUAGGGCGUGGCUAUGAAGUCUUAAAGGUGAUUCGUGAUUGGCCGUUUGCUCUCCCGAGUCAAAUGAGCCCACCUUCAUGUUCCUAUGACACUUCUAUCCAAAGGACUAUCUUUGAUCUUUUUGAAUGGAAGUCUAUGGAACCUGUUGCUAUGGUGCUCUAUAUGGUUGCUAGGGCGUGGCUUAAUAGCUUCACAUUGAUCCUGAGAGACUGAUUGGUUGCCUGAGUGAAAUGAGCCCGCCCCCUUGUCUCUAUGACACUGUGAUCAAUAGUGAGAGAUGUGAGUGAGUGAGAGAAAGGGUUCUAAGGCCCUGCGUGUGUGUGCGUGUGUGAGAAAGUGACAGUUGAGAUUCAAAUUUCUGAACAUUCCGCCAUUGAAAGUCAAUGGGACUUUUUUGGCCGCUUUUUCGCCCCCUGUGCGAACAUCGUUGGGCCGAUCGCUUAUAAAAGUCAUAGCACACCUCUCCUCAAUGAGCCGGUCGAUUUGACACCUCAUUCAUGGGUCUAGGACAAAAACUGCGGGACAAGUUACGCGCCGAAGUUUUUGUCCAGAAGAAGAAGAAUAA